UGAGCAAUCUGCCCUUCUCUUCGGAAUAAGCGUGGGAAACCGCGUCUAAUGCCGAAUACGACCUCCUUUCGCAUGAUCGGAGGUGGAAAGCUCCGGCGGAGAAGGAUGAGCUCGCGGCCUGUCAGCUAGUUGGUGUGGGUAACGGCCCACCAAGGCGACGACGGGUAGCUGGUCUGAGGGGAUGGCCAGCCACAGUUGGGACUGAGACACGGCCCAGACUCCGUACGGGAGCA
rnacentral:rRNA from 1 species